rnacentral:rRNA from 1 species
UACGUAGGCAGCAAGCGUUGUUCGGAGUUACUGGGCGUAAAGGGUGCGUAGGCGGUCCUAUAAAUAUGGUGUGAAAUCUCCCGCUCAACUGGGAGGGUGCGCCGGAUACUGAGGGGCUAGAGUGUGGGAGAGGAAAGUGGAAUUCCUGGUGUAGCGGUGAAAUGCGUAGAUAUCAGGAGGAACACCUGUGGCGAAAGCGGCUCACUGGACCAUAACUGACGCUGAUGCACGAAAGCUAGGGGAGCAAACAGG